GAAACCGCGCCGCUCGCCGGGUGAUGCCGCUUCACCCGGUGUCGCCAGGAUGAUUGCGAUCGCCAUGCAGCCGUAAAGAUAUCGCAUCGUCGAUGUUUCGGUGUGAGCGCGCGUUUGCGGGUCGAUCUUGCGGGAAUCGUCCCCUCUCGCAUUGAUUUGCAUCAACCCAUCAUCGUCAAAGUCGUUAUGGUAUCGUGAAAACGAUCACUUUGUGAUCCGGCAAAUCGCGAAGGCAAGUUCGAGAUGUCUCAAUGUCUCAUAGUGGAUCAGGUCGUCUGGACAGUAAAAUCGCAGGCUGCCUUCUGUGUGUCAUACGAUCGCUCAGCGUCUGCGGUGCGCUGGAUGAAGA
rnacentral:misc_RNA from 1 species